ACAAAAGUCUUGAUAUUCAGGACUUAUUGGUCUAUUUUGCCCCCCCCCCCCAAGUCUCAGAUUUCGUGCUUAGCAGAACCUCACAACCCAAAUCUGUGUGACAUCGCUACAAUAUGUCAUGAUCAGCUACAUCGAUCACACCAUCUCGACUGUAAUCGCGUCGCUACAAAGAGGCGAGGCGCUGAUCCAAAAAGAAGAGAAGAAUACUUCAGGACAGAGAGCGAGAGCUGGCAGAAAAACAGGCAGACAGGAAAAAAAAAGAAUUGGGGACGUGGAAAUUAGUUCAAGAACGUAAUGUGCAGUCGGAAGGUUAUCCAGGUCAGAGAAGCUGGACUUACAAGAGCAGGCCUAAAUUGAUUUUGUAAAAUGAUGAUGUAAUAUGGUCCCAGAGAUAACUCCGUAGUUUUAUAUGGGUCAAAUAGGUUUCACAACCGUUGUGUCCCUCGAAGGAAUUCAUUUGUGAACGAUUGUGUUAUUUUCGGUGAACAUGUUGAAUAAGAACAUUGUUGAGACGCGCUGUCAUUAUUGAUCAUUCCACGCUGCUAGCGACGGAAAAAAAAAGCGUACUAACUUUGUGCAAUAUUCUGCAUGUUUUUAGGUUAAUUUGCAGAUCUGACAGGGAUUAACAGCAUUUAUGUUUGUUUUGAGCAUAAUAGCUACUCUUUUUUUGGAAAAAUUUGUUACAAAAUGAAACAUCGAACACACGUUCUACUGAACAUUUCUCAUUUAUUCAAAAAAGAACAAAAAAACGACAUCGUGAAAUGAGUGACACUUAAGGUAUUAUGGAAAUUAAGUAUGUUUACAUGUUUACGAAAUGAACACUUUGCAGUACACGUAUGCCCCUAACAGGGUGGAACUCUGUCACAAUUCCAUGUCUGAACAAUCCACCUAUAAUUAACAUUCUUAAAAUGCUUAUGUUCAAGUUAAAAAAAAAA